ensembl:miRNA MIR95 microRNA 95
AACACAGUGGGCACUCAAUAAAUGUCUGUUGAAUUGAAAUGCGUUACAUUCAACGGGUAUUUAUUGAGCACCCACUCUGUG